rnacentral:rRNA from 1 species
CGCGUGAAGGAAGAAGGUUCUAUGGAUUGUAAACUUCUUUUGUAAGGGAAUAAAACAGACCACGUGUGGUCUCUUGUAUGUACUUUACGAAUAAGGAUCGGCUAACUCCGUGCCAGCAGCCGCGGUAAUACGGAGGAUCCGAGCGUUAUCCGGAUUUAUUGGGUUUAAAGGGUGCGUAGGCGGACCUGUAAGUCAGUGGUGAAAGUUUGCGGCUCAACCGUAAAAUUGCCAUUGAAACUACCGGUCUUGAGUGUAAAUGAGGUAGGCGGAAUGUGUUGUGUAGCGGUGAAAUGCUUAGAUAUAACACAGAACACCAAUUGCGAAGGCAGCUUACUAGGAUACAACUGACGCUGAGGCACGAAAGCGUGGGGAUCAAACAGGAUUAGAUACCCUGGUAGUCCACGCAGUAAACGAUGAAUACUAGCUGUAUGCGAUAUAGUGUAUGUGGCAAAGCGAAAGC